rnacentral:rRNA from 1 species
UCAGAGUUUGAUCCUGGCUCGGGAUGAACGCUAGCGACAGGCUUAACACAUGCAAGUCGAGGGGCAGCGCGGCGGUGGCGACACCGCUGGCGGCGACCGGCGCACGGGUGAGUAACGCGUAUGCAACCUGCCGUCCGCAGGGGGAUAACCGGGGGAAACCCCGACUAAUACCGCAUAACCGCCUUGGCCGCAUGGCCGGGGCGUAAAAGAUUUAUCGGCGGGCGAUGGGCAUGCGUAGUAUUAGGUAGUUGGCGGGGCAGCGGCCCACCAAGCCCACGAUACUUAGGGGUUCUGAGAGGAAGGCCCCCCACAUUGGAACUGAGACACGGUCCAAACUCCUACGGGAGGCAGCAGUGAGGAAUAUUGGUCAAUGGGCGCGAGCCUGAACCAGCCAAGUCCCGUGAAGGACGACGGCCCUACGGGUUGUAAACUUCUUUAGUGCGGGGACAAAAAGGCGCACGAGUGCGCCGUUGAGGGUACCGCAAGAAUAAGCAUCGGCUAACUCCGUGCCAGCAGCCGCGGUAAUACGGAGGAUGCGAGCGUUAUCCGGAUUUAUUGGGUUUAAAGGGUGCGCAGGCGGCGCGUCAAGUCGGCGGUGAAAUUCCGGGGCUCAACCCCGGUCAGCCGCCGAAACUGGCGAGCUAGCGUAGGAGCGAGGGAUGCGGAAUGCGUUGUGUAGCGGUGAAAUGCAUAGAUAUGACGCAGAACCCCGAUUGCGAAGGCAGCAUCCCAGCUCCUUACGGACGCUGAGGCACGAAAGCGUGGGGAUCGAACAGGAUUAGAUACCCUGGUAGUCCACGCAGUAAACGAUGAGCGCUAUCCGUGCGGGGCGACUGGGCUCUGCGUGGAAAAGCAAAAGCGCUAAGCGCUCCACCUGGGGAGUACGCCGGCAACGGUGAAACUCAAAGGAAUUGACGGGGGCCCGCACAAGCGGAGGAACAUGUGGUUUAAUUCGAUGAUACGCGAGGAACCUUACCCGGGCUCGAACGCGGGAGGAACGGAGGGGAGACCCCGAGGCCAGCGAUGGCCUCCCGCGAGGUGCUGCAUGGUUGUCGUCAGCUCGUGCCGUGAGGUGUCGGCUUAAGUGCCAUAACGAGCGCAACCCCCGCGUCCAGUUGCCAGCACGCAGUGGUGGGGACUCUGGACGGACUGCCGGCGCAAGCCGCGAGGAAGGCGGGGAUGACGUCAAAUCAGCACGGCCCUUACGUCCGGGGCUACACACGUGUUACAAUGGCGCGUCACAGAGGGAAGCUGCCCGGCGACGGGUGGCGGAGCCGUAAAACGCGUCCCAGUUCGGAUCGGAGGCUGCAACCCGCCUCCGUGAAGCUGGAUUCGCUAGUAAUCGCGCAUCAGCCAUGGCGCGGUGAAUACGUUCCCGGGCCUUGUACACACCGCCCGUCAAGCCAUGGGAGCCGGGGGCGCCUGAAGACCGUAACCGCGAGGGGCGGCCAAGGGCGAGACCGGUGACUGGGGCUAAGUCGUAACAAGGUAGCCGUACCGGAAGGUGCGGCUGGAUCACCUCCUU